GACAGAGGGUGCAAACGUUGUUCGGAAUUACUGGGCGUAAAGCGUGCGCAGGCGGUUUUGUAAGUCUGUCGUGAAAGCCCCCGGGCUCAACCUGGGAAUUGCGAUGGAGACUGCAAGGCUUGAAUCUGGCAGAGGGGGGUAGAAUUCCACGUGUAGCAGUGAAAUGCGUAGAGAUGUGGAGGAACACCGAUGGCGAAGGCAGCCCCCCUGGGUCAAGAUUGACGCUCAUGCACGAAAGCGUGGGGAGCAAACAGG
rnacentral:rRNA from 1 species